rnacentral:rRNA from 1 species
GACGAACGCUGGCGGCGUGCUUAACACAUGCAAGUCGAACGGAAAGGCCCUGCUUUUGUGGGGUGCUCGAGUUGCGAACGGGUGAGUAACACGUGAGUACCCUGCCAUUGACUUUGGGAUAACUUCAGGAAGCUGGGUCUAAUACCGGAUAGGAGCUACCGCUGCUUGGUGGGGGCUGGUUAGUUUCGGCGGUUGGGGAUGGACUAGCGUCUUAUCAGCUUGUUGGUGGGGUAGUGGAUUACCAUGGCUUUGACGGGUAGCCGGCCUGAGAGGGUGACAGGCCACAUUGGGACGGAGAUACGGCCCAGACUCCUACGGGAGGCAGAAGUGGGGAAUAUUGCACAAGGGGCGGAAGCCUGAUGCAGCAACGCCGCGUGCGGGAUGACGUCCUUCGGGUAGUAAACCGCAGUCGCCUGUGACGAAGCGUGAGUGACGGUAAUGGGUAAAGAAGCACCGGCUAACUACGUG